rnacentral:rRNA from 1 species
CACGUAGGGCGCAAGCGUUGUCCGGAAUUAUUGGGCGUAAAGAGCUCGUAGGCGGUCUGUUACGUCUGCUGUGAAAACCCUGGGCUUAACCCUGGGCUUGCAAUGGAUACGGGCAGACUAGAGGCAGGUAGGGGAGAAUGGAAUUCCCGGUGUAGCGGUGAAAUGCGCAGAUAUCAGGAGGAACACCGGUGGCGAAGGCGGGUCUCUGGGCCGUAACUGACGCUGAGGAGCGAAAGCGUGGGGAGCGAACAGG